rnacentral:rRNA from 1 species
GGCGAACGCUGGCGGCGUGCCUAAUACAUGCAAGUCGAGCGGGCCGGAUUGGGGCUUGCCUUGAUUCGGUCAGCGGCGGACGGGUGAGUAACACGUGGGCAACCUGCCGCAAGACCGGGAUAACUCCGGGAAACCGGAGCUAAUACCGGAUAACACCGAAGACCGCAUGGUCUUCGGUUGAAAGGCGGCCUUUGGGCUGUCACUUGCGGAUGGGCCCGCGGCGCAUUAGCUAGUUGGUGAGGUAACGGCUCACCAAGGCGUCGAUGCGUAGCCGGCCUGAGAGGGUGACCGGCCACACUGGGACUGAGACACGGCCCAGACUCCUACGGGAGGCAGCAGUAGGGAAUCUUCCGCAAUGGGCGAAAGCCUGACGGAGCGACGCCGCGUGAGCGAAGAAGGCCUUCGGGUCGUAAAGCUCUGUUGUGAGGGACGAAGGAGCGUCGUUCGAAGAGGGCGGCGCGGUGACGGUACCUCACGAGAAAGCCCCGGCUAACUACGUG